rnacentral:rRNA from 1 species
AAUCAACGCUGGCGGCGUGCCUAACACAUGCAAGUCGAACGCGAAAGGGGCUUCGGCCCUGAGUAGAGUGGCAAACGGGUGAGUAACACGUGGGUGACCUGCCUUCGAGUGGGGGAUAACGUCCCGAAAGGGACGCUAAUACCGCAUAACAUCCUGCCUUUGGACAGGUGGAGAUCAAAGCUGGGGAUCGCAAGACCUGGCGCUUGAAGAGGGGCCCGCGUCUGAUUAGCUAGUUGGUGGGGUAAUGGCUCACCAAGGCAACGAUCAGUAUCCGGCCUGAGAGGGCGGACGGACACACUGGGACUGAGACACGGCCCAGACUCCUACGGGAGGCAGCAGUGGGGAAUUGUUCGCAAUGGGCGCAAGCCUGACGACGCAACGCCGCGUGGAGGAUGAAGAUCUUCGGGUCGUAAACUCCUGUCGAGCGGGACGAACACCUUUCGGGUGAAUAUCUCGAAGGGCUGACGGUACCGCUAAAGGAAGCCCCGGCUAACUCCGUGCCAGCAGCCG